rnacentral:rRNA from 1 species
GAUGAACGCUGGCGGCGUGCCUAAUACAUGCAAGUCGAGCGAAUGGAUUAAGAGCUUGCUCUUAUGAAGUUAGCGGCGGACGGGUGAGUAACACGUGGGUAACCUGCCCAUAAGACUGGGAUAACUCCGGGAAACCGGGGCUAAUACCGGAUAACAUUUUGAACCGCAUGGUUCGAAAUUGAAAGGCGGCUUCGGCUGUCACCAAUGGAUGGACCCGCGUCGCAUUAGCUAGUUGGUGUGGUAACGGCUCCCCAAGGCAACGAGGCGUAGCCGACCUGAGAGGGUGAUCGGCCACACUGGGACUGAGACACGGCCCAGACUCCUACGGGAGGCAGCAGUAGGGAAUCUUCCGCAAUGGACGAAAGUCUGACGGAGCAACGCCGCGUGAGUGAUGAAGGCUUUCGGGUCGUAAAACUCUGUUGUUAGGGAAGAACAAGUGCUAGUUGAAUAAGCUGGCACCUUGACGGUACCUAACCAGAAAGCCACGGCUAACUACGUGCCAGCCGCCGCAGUAA